AUAAAAAUAUGGGUACCACUCAAUCUAUUGUAGGUAAUUUGAUGAAUUUCCCUUUUAGAUAAGACUUUGUUUGAAAAAAUUUAAAAUUUCGUCUAAACAGGCCCUAAGAGCUUUACAUAUCUGAGUAUUGCCGCCAAAUGCAUAUUUUUUCGGGUGAAACUUCAGGGGCUCGAAUGGCGCAAGAAGCAGCAGCUAAAACCCUAAUUUUUCCCAUCAUCGAUUUGUCUUCUCCCGAUCGCGUUGCCACUUCAAGACUAAUACGCCAGGCAUGCGUCGAUUCUGGUUUUUUCUACCUCAUAAACCAUGGUAUUGAUGAAGACAUGUUUGAGCAAGUAUUUGAUCAAAGCAAGAAGUUUUUUCAGCUCUCAAUACAAGAAAAGUUGGAGUUAUCACGUAAUAAGGAUCACAGGGGCUAUACACCAUUGUACGUGGAGACUCUUGACACUUCAAUAAAGUCUAAAGGGGACUCGAAGGAGAGCUUCUACAUUGGCCCUGUGCCUAUUGAAGGCAGUUCCUCACAAGAAACACAUAUCGAUGAUGUAAAUCAGUGGCCUUCCGAAGCUACUUUGCCCCAUUGGAGAGCCACAAUGGAAGCUUAUUAUGACAAGGUCUUGAGUGCUGGGAUUAGAGUGAUAUCGUUGAUCGCUUUGGCGCUGAACUUAAGCGAAGAUUUCUUCAUGAGAGUGGGUGCACUAGAUUCACCAGCAGCAUUUAUUCGUCUUUUACAUUAUCCAGGUGAACUUCCAUCGUCAGAGGACUUAAAUUUUGGUGCAUCUGCUCAUUCUGAUUAUGGAAUGAUCACACUUUUGCUCACAGAUGGAGUUAAUGGCCUUCAGAUCUGCAGGGAAAAAGAUAAGCAACCACAAAUAUGGGAGGAUGUACCUCACCUCAAAGGGGCAUUUGUUGUUAACAUUGGUGAUAUGUUGGAGCGGUGGACCAAUUGUUUAUUCCGUCGACUUAAGCGGAAGUCAGCUUUGUCUAGGGGCUCAAACUUGGUGAGCUGUGGAAAUGGAGCUUUCAAACAUCAAUUCAACGUUACACAGAGUAAUCGCAAGUGGUCAAGAACGAUAUUCAGUGGCAUUUUUCUUAGAUCCAAAUUUUGACUGUUUGGUGGAGUGCCUGGAAAGUUGCUGCUCUGAGACAAUUCCGGCAAGAUUUCCUCCAAUUCGCAGUGGGGACUAUCUGAAGAAGCGACUUUGGUUGACUUACUCUUCAGGUUGAUAAGAAAGUUGUCAGGGAACAUGGCUAGAGGAUAGGCAUGAAUCUGGUAUA